rnacentral:miRNA from 1 species
CUGAUGAGAGAGCGAAUGAUA